CCCAGUAACCUUCUCGCGCAGCCGAGCCUCAUCUCUCUCACUCUCUCUGUCUCUCUGUGAAGAGCUUCAUCGAAGCCAAGCGCAAGGAACGCGAGGCUCGCGAGAAGGACGAGUAGUACUGGUGCGAGGUGAAGGGCAGCAAAUCCCCCGUGGCCAAGAAGCGCGAGGAAGGAUUUGGGGGUCACCGACUCCCUGGGAUGGCUGCAACGAGAAUGCUUCAUCAGCAAAUCCCCCGCGGCCAAGAAGCGCGAGGAAGAAGCCGAGAAGCUGGCGGAGGCUGCCACGCGGAAGUCCGAGGCCCGCCGAUUGGCGGAUCUGGAGGAGAAGGAUCUCCCUAUCCUCUCUCUUCUCUCUCUCGCUCUUCUUCCGCAUAAGAUCUCUCUCGCUCUCUCCGCCGUCGACCUCCCGCCUCACAUUGACUGAGAUCCAAGAUGUGGAAGGGGUAGAACUAUGUGGAACCCUGAAAAAUGUUGUGGCCAUAGCAGCAGGUUUUUGUGGAUGGGUUGGAGAUGGGAAAUAACACAAAGGCUGCAAUUAUGAGAAUCGGUCUAAGAGAGAUGAAGGCAUUUUCCAAGAUGUUAUUUUCAUCAAUCGAAAUGGCAAGGGGAAGCUCAAAGAAAGGUGCUAUGUUGCCUCCUAGGCCGCCUAUGCGUUGAGCUUGAGCUUGAAGACUUGGAAGAUUUUAUUUGUGCAAGACAUGAAGUGAUGAAACCUUGAAGGUUUAUUUGACUUGUGUGAUGUUUAAAUUUGGACUUUUUGAAGACUUAAACUUUGAUGUUUAAUUUGGACUUUUUGAAGACUUAAACUUGAUUGA